GGGAAACCGAGUCUGAAUAGGGCGCUUAGUUGUAGGGGCUAGACGCGAAACCCGUGUGAUCUACCCAUGGCCAGGGUGAAGUUGGGGUAAGACCCAAUGGAGGCCCGAACCCGUAUUCGUUGAAAAGAAUUGGGAUGAGCUGUGGGGGGGAGUAAAAGUCUAAUCAAACCGGGAGAUAGCUCGUUCUCUCCGAAAUAACUUUAGGGUUAGCCUCAGAAGGCAACAGUUGGGGGUAGAGCUACUGGAUGAGUGGCGGGCCCUAC
rnacentral:rRNA from 1 species